GAUGAACGCUAGCUACAGGCUUAACACAUGCAAGUCGAGGGGAAACGAUAGAGAAAGCUUGCUUUUUCUAGGCGUCGACCGGCGCACGGGUGAGUAACGCGUAUCCAACCUGCCCAUCACUUUGGGAUAACCUUGCGAAAGUAAGACUAAUACCCAAUGAUAUCUCUAGAAGACAUCUGAAGGAGAUUAAAGAUUUAUCGGUGAAGGAUGGGGAUGCGUCUGAUUAGCUUGUUGGCGGGGUAACGGCCCACCAAGGCGACGAUCAGUAGGGGUUCUGAGAGGAAGGUCCCCCACAUUGGAGCUGAGACACGGUCCGAACUCCUACGGGAGGCAGCAGUGAGGAAUAUUGGUCAAUGGACGAGAGUCUGAACCAGCCAAGUAGCGUGCAGGAUGACGGCCCUAUGGGUUGUAAACUGCUUUUAUAAGGGAAUAAAGUGAGUCUCGUGAGACUUUUUGCAUGUACCUUAUGAAUAAGGACCGGCUAAUUCCGUGCCAGCAGCCGCAGUAA
rnacentral:rRNA from 1 species